CCUACGGGAGUUAGCAUCAGGGGGUAUUGCGCAAUGGGCGAAAGCCUGACGCAGUGACGCCGCGUGGGUGACGAAGGCCUUCGGGUCGUAAAGCCCUGUCGGGUGGGAUGAAAGCCUGGAGCGAUCCAGGUGUGACAGUACCACCCAAGAAAGCCCCGACUAACUACGUGCCAGCAGUCGCGGUAAUACGUAGGGGGCAGGCGAUGUCCGGAUUCACUGGGCGUAAAGGGCGUCUAGGCGGCUCGGCAAGUCGGACGUGAAAGUUCGGGGCUCAACCCCGAAAAGCCAUUCGAAACUGCCGGGCUUGAGUGCGGGAGAGGGUAGCGGAAUUCCCGGUGUAGCGGUGAAAUGCCCAGAUAUCGGGAGGAACACCCGUGGCGAAGGCGGCUGCCUGGACCGCAACUGACGCUGAAGCGCGAAAGCUAGGGGAGCGAACGGGAUUAGAUACCCCUGUAGU
rnacentral:rRNA from 1 species